rnacentral:rRNA from 1 species
GACGAACGCUGGCGGCGUGCUUAACACAUGCAAGUCGAACGGAAAGGCCCUGCUUUUGUGGGGUGCUCGAGUGGCGAACGGGUGAGUAACACGUGAGUAACCUGCCCUUGACUUUGGGAUAACUUCGGGAAACUGGGGCUAAUACCGGAUAGGAGCUCCUGCUGCAUGGUGGGGGUUGGAAAGUUUCGGCGGUUGGGGAUGGACUCGCGGCCUAUCAGCUUGUUGGUGGGGUAGUGGCUUACCAAGGCUUUGACGGGUAGCCGGCCUGAGAGGGUGACCGGCCACAUUGGGACUGAGAUACGGCCCGGACUCCUACGGGAGGCAGCAGUGGGGAAUAUUGCACAAUGGGCGGAAGCCUGAUGCAGCAACGCCGCGUGCGGGAUGACGGCCUUCGGGUUGUAAACCGCUUUCGCCUGUGACGAAGCGUGAGUGACGGUAAUGGGUAAAGAAGCACCGGCUAACUACGUGCCAGCAGCCGCGGUGAUACGUAGGGUGCGAGCGUUGUCCGGAUUUAUUGGGCGUAAAGGGCUCGUAGGUGGUUGAUCGCGUCGGAAGUGUAAUCUUGGGGCUUAACCCUGAGCGUGCUUUCGAUACGGGUUGACUUGAGGAAGGUAGGGGAGAAUGGAAUUCCUGGUGGAGCGGUGGAAUGCGCAGAUAUCAGGAGGAACACCAGUGGCGAAGGCGGUUCUCUGGGCCUUUCCUGACGCUGAGGAGCGAAAGCGUGGGGAGCGAACAGGCUUAGAUACCCUGGUAGUCCACGCUGUAAACGGUGGGUACUAGGUGUGGGGUCCAUUCCACGGGUUCCGUGCCGUAGCUAACGCUUUAAGUACCCCGCCUGGGGAGUACGGCCGCAAGGCUAAAACUCAAAGGAAUUGACGGGGCCCCGCACAAGCGGCGGAGCAUGCGGAUUAAUUCGAUGCAACGCGUAGAACCUUACCUGGGUUUGACAUGGAUCGGGAGCGCUCAGAGAUGGGUGUGCCUCUUUUGGGGUCGGUUCACAGGUGGUGCAUGGCUGUCGUCAGCUCGUGUCGUGAGAUGUUGGGUUAAGUCCCGCAACGAGCGCAACCCUUGUUCACUGUUGCCAGCACGUUAUGGUGGGGACUCAGUGGAGACCGCCGGGGUCAACUCGGAGGAAGGUGGGGAUGACGUCAAGUCAUCAUGCCCCUUAUGUCCAGGGCUUCACGCAUGCUACAAUGGCUGGUACAGAGAGUGGCGAGCCUGUGAGGGUGAGCGAAUCUCGGAAAGCCGGUCUCAGUUCGGAUUGGGGUCUGCAACUCGACCUCAUGAAGUCGGAGUCGCUAGUAAUCGCAGAUCAGCAACGCUGCGGUGAAUACGUUCCCGGGGCU